rfam:Auricularia subglabra TFB-10046 SS5 ATRDEscaffold_278_Cont3389, whole genome shotgun sequence.
GUCCCCUUCGGGGUGACAUACGUUAAAAUUGGAACGAUACAGAGAAGAUUAGCAUGGCCCCUGCACAAGGAUGACACGCUCACGGCAGAGUGGAACUAGUCUUCG